UCUUUCCUCCCCACAUAGCUAAUAAUGAUCGCUCCUUUUUCAAUAUUGAAUUCGGCUAGUAAACCUCCCAAAUUAUAGCCCACCCCAUCAUCAAUCCUUUACCAAUUUCAAUUUUGUUUGGGUCUUCUGGCUGCCAAAUCUAUGGAGAAAAAUCCCAGUUGAGGAGGGAAAAAGAAAAAAGGCAAGCAUCUUUGUAUUCCGUACCAGAUUAAGAUAAGAUGACGGCCAACAGCAAUUAGACAAGGUUAGUAAAAGUGUUUCUAAUUUGAGAAAGAAAACAUAAUACAAUAGAUAAAGGCUGAGGGGGGAGUAUAGUAGCUGUAUAUAGAGGGAAAGAAAGUGACAUUGUCGGUGCUUUUGUUGUUUU
rnacentral:lncRNA from 1 species